UGGAUAGAUACAUAGACAGUAGACAGUA
rnacentral:piRNA from 1 species